rnacentral:rRNA from 1 species
UGGGGAAUUUUGGACAAUGGGCGAAAGCCUGAUCCAGCAAUGCCGCGUGUGUGAAGAAGGCCUUCGGGUCGUAAAGCACUUUUGUCCGGAAAGAAAUCCUUGGCUCUAAUACAGUCGGGGGAUGACGGUACCGGAAGAAUAAGCACCGGCUAACUACGUGCCAGCAGCCGCGGUAAUACGUAGGGUGCAAGCGUUAAUCGGAAUUACUGGGCGUAAAGCGUGCGCAGGCGGUUUGCUAAGACCGAUGUGAAAUCCCCGGGCUCAACCUGGGAACUGCAUUGGUGACUGGCAGGCUAGAGUAUGGCAGAGGGGGGUAGAAUUCCACGUGUAGCAGUGAAAUGCGUAGAGAUGUGGAGGAAUACCGAUGGCGAAGGCAGCCCCCUGGGCCAAUACUGACGCUCAUGCACGAAAGCGUGGGGAGCAAACAGGAUUAGAUACCCUGGUAGUCCACGCCCUAAACGAUGUCAACUAGUUNUUGGGGAUUCAUUUCCUUAGUAACGUAGCUAACGCGUGAAGUUGACCGCCUGGGGAGUACGGUCGCAAGAUUAAAACUCAAAGGAAUUGACGGGGUCAUAGCUGUUU